CCUGUUCCUGUACUAUUACCGAAGUUAAGCAACGUCGUGCCAGGUCAGUACUUUGAUGGGUGACCGCUUGGGAAUACCAGGCGCU